rnacentral:rRNA from 2 species
UCGCUCAACGGAUAAAAGCUACCCCGGGGAUAACAGGCUUAUCUCCCCCAAGAGUCCACAUCGACGGGGAGGUUUGGCACCUCGAUGUCGGCUCAUCGCAUCCUGGGGCUGUAGUCGGUCCCAAGGGUUGGGCUGUUCGCCCAUUAAAGCGGUACGCGAGCUGGGUUCAGAACGUCGUGAGACAGUUCGGUCCCUAUCCGUCGUGGGCGUAGGAAAUUUGAGAGGAGCUGUCCUUAGUACGAGAGGACCGGGAUGGACACACCGCUGGUGUACCAGUUGUCUUGCCAAAGGCAUCGCUGGGUAGCUAUGUGUGGACGGGAUAAGUGCUGAAAGCAUCUAAGCAUGAAGCCCCCCUCAAGAUGAGAUUUCCCAUAGCGCAAGCUAGUAAGAUCCCUGAAAGAUGAUCAGGUUGAUAGGUCAGAGGUGGAAGCGUGGCGACAUGUGUAGCUGACUGAUACUAAUCGAUCGAGGACUUAACCAAAC